rnacentral:rRNA from 1 species
UACGGAGGUGGCAAGCGUUGUUCGGAAUUACUGGGCGUAAAGGGCGCGUAGGCGGCUUGGCAAGUCAGAUGUGAAAGCCCCGGGCUUAACUCGGGAAUUGCAUCUGAAACUGCUUUGCUUGAGUCCUGGAGGGGGUAGUGGAAUUCCCAGUGUAAGCGGUGAAAUGCGUAGAUAUUGGGAGGAACACCUGCGGCGAAGGCGGCUACCUGGACAGUGACUGACGCUGAGGCGCGAAAAGCUAGGGGAGCGAACGGGAUUAGAUACCCCUGUA